AGGACGACGCUGGCGGCGUGCCUAACACAUGCAAGUCGAACGGGGAUUUGUUUCGGCAGAAUCCUAGUGGCGAACGGGUGAGUAACGCGUAGGCAACCUGCCCUCCGGCCGGGGGACAACACUCCGAAAGGGGUGCUAAUACCGGAUACGAAGUCUGUGCCGCAUGGUACGGAUUUGAAAGAUGGCCUCUGUUUACAAGCUAUCGCCGGGGGAUGGGCCUGCGUCCGAUUAGCUGGUUGGUGGGGUAACGGCCUACCAAGGCGACGAUCGGUAGCCGGUCUGAGAGGAUGAACGGCCACAUUGGGACUGAGACACGGCCCAGACUCCUACGGGAGGCAGCAGUGGGGAAUCUUCCGCAAUGGGCGCAAGCCUGACGGAGCAACGCCGCGUGAGUGAGGAAGUUCUUCGGAACGUAAAGCUCUGUUGUUCCUGACGAACCUCCCCUCUAUCAACAACGGAGGGGACUGACGGUAGGGAACGAGGAAGCCACGGCUAACUACGUGCCAGCCGCGGC
rnacentral:rRNA from 1 species